GGGGAAUAUUGCACAAUGGAGGAAACUCUGAUGCAGCAACGCCGCGUGAAGGAUGAAGGUUUUCGGAUUGUAAACUUCUUUGAUUGGGGACGAAGAAUGACGGUACCCAAGGAACAAGCCACGGCUAACUACGUGCCAGCAGCCGCGGUAAUACGUAGGUGGCGAGCGUUGUCCGGAAUUACUGGGUGUAAAGGGCGUGUAGGCGGGAGAGCAAGUCAGAUGUGAAAUUCCGAGGCUUAACUUCGGAGCUGCAUCUGAAACUGUUUUUCUUGAGUGCUGGAGAGGAAAGCGGAAUUCCUAGUGUAGCGGUGAAAUGCGUAGAUAUUAGGAGGAACACCAGUGGCGAAGGCGGCUUUCUGGACAGUAACUGACGCUGAGGCGCGAAAGCGUGGGGAGCAAAC
rnacentral:rRNA from 1 species